UGUGAGUCCGUAUUCUGGAGAGGAGAGAGCUACCUAACUGGCAAAUUGGAGAAGAAAAGAAGGGGGGAAAUCCACUGAAGGGGGAUAUCGAGGAAAAUAACCCAUAAUCAGGUCUCUGUGGCAUUGAGUUUCAACUCUCAGAGCUUUGGGAGAGGGGUCUGAAAGUUUCCGUCCGGGGGGGACACCCUCCCCUUGUUGUGGGGAUGAACAGCGGAUGCUGAAUUUCAUUCCUGAAGGCAGCAGGAGAUCUGUGAAUACCGGCUGGAUUCACUUGCAGUGGAGCUGGUAGUGCGCACUAGAAGAGAUCCUAGAGUGCCUCUUUCUCUCUCGCACACGCAUUUUCCAGAAGAAUACAUAUCAUUAUUUCACCGUGACCAGGUGGAAUAUCAGGGGCAAUCAACCCAUAAGAAUAUCUUCUGAGCCUGGGAGGUAAAGUGGAACGGAUUAUUUGCAGAAUCAAUGAAGGACAUCCUGUUCAAAAAAGUAAGUUCUAAUAAAGAAAGGCUUUGAAUUGGGUUCUGAUUCUGAGAGACUUGGAGGAUUUUUGCCCUUUUAUCUUUGUUGUGGAGCAGCACCGAGCUUCAGACAGCUUAUCUUGUGGACUAUAAGGUUCUGGAUGGUAUUUCAAGACUGAAUCUGCGUAGGCCCCUAUCCUCUCCCCUGGCAGAAAGCAGAUAUGUUCUUUGCCUCUGUUCCAGUAUGACCCCGGAAUAAGUGAGCUGUGAAUAAAGUCCCACUGGAGCUUUUCUAAAGGACUCCCUUGCUUCUCUGACAGUGUAUGGACAUCUGACAUUGGGUAGCAGACAAAAGACUGAAAAUAGGGAGAACCACAGCUGAAGAAGAGAGAGAAGAAUAGGCCAUGGCUGAGGGGAUGAUUGCUUCUC